rnacentral:rRNA from 1 species
UACGUAGGGCGCAAGCGUUAUCCGGAAUUAUUGGGCGUAAAGAGCUCGUAGGCGGUUUGUCGCGUCUGCCGUGAAAGUCCGGGGCUCAACUCCGGAUCUGCGGUGGGUACGGGCAGACUAGAGUGAUGUAGGGGAGACUGGAAUUCCUGGUGUAGCGGUGAAAAUGCGCAGAUAUCAGGAGGAACACCGAUGGCGAAGGCAGGUCUCUGGCAUUAACUGACGCUGAGGAGCGAAAGCAUGGGGAGCGAACAGG